rnacentral:tRNA from 1 species
GCAACUGUGGCGCAGUCGGUAGCGCGCAGGUCUCAUAAUCCUGAAGUCGCGAGUUCGAGCCUCGCCAGUUGCA